rnacentral:rRNA from 1 species
UACGUAGGGGGCAAGCGUUGUCCGGAAUCAUUGGGCGUAAAGCGCGUGCAGGCGGUUCGGUAAGUCUGCUGUGAAAGUCCAGGGCUCAACCCUGGGAUGCCGGUGGAUACUGUCGGACUAGAGUACGGAAGAGGCGAGUGGAAUUCCCGGUGUAGCGGUGAAAUGCGCAGAUAUCAGGAGGAACACCGAUGGCGAAGGCAGGUCUCUGGGCAUUAACUGACGCUGAGGAGCGAAAGCAUGGGGAGCGAACAGG